rnacentral:rRNA from 1 species
GACGAACGCUGGCGGCGUGCUUAACACAUGCAAGUCGAACGGAAAGGCGCUGCUUUUGUUGGGUGCUCGAGGGGCGAACGUGUGUAUAACGCGUAAGUAACCUGCCCUUGAUAUUGGGAUAACUUCAGAAAACUGGGGCUAAUAUCGUAUUGGGGCUCCUGCUCCAUGUAUGGUUUUGAAAAGUAUCGGCGGUUGGGGAUGGACUCGCGGCUUAUCAGCUUGUUGGUGGGGUAGUGGCUUACCAAGGCCUUGACGGGUAGCCGGCCUGAGAGGGUGAUCGGCCAACUUGGGACUGAGGUCACGGCCAGUAUCCCACGGGGGGCAGCAGUGGGGAAUAUUGCACAAUGGGCGGAAGCCUGAUGUAGCAACGCCGCGUGUGGGAUAACGGCCUUCGGGUUGUAAAAAGCUUUCGCCUGUGACGAAGCGUGAGUGACGGUAAUGGGUGAAGAAGCACCGGCUAACUACGUG